rnacentral:rRNA from 1 species
CCUACGGGAGGCAGCAGUGGGGAAUAUUGCGCAAUGGGCGAAAGCCUGACGCAGCGACGCCGCGUGAACGACGAAGUCUUUCGGGAUGUAAAGUUCUGUCAAGUGGAACGAUAAUGACGGUACCACUAAAGGAAGCCCUGGCUAACUACGUGCCAGCAGCCGCGGUAAUACGUAGAGGGCGAGCGUUAUCCGGAUUUAUUGGGCAUAAAGCGCAUGUAGGCGGUUUUUUAAGUCAGAUGUGAAAUAUCCCGGCUCAACCGGUUUGUGCAUUUGAAACUGGAGAACUUGAGAUCAGGAGAGGGAAGCGGAACUCACGGUGUAGCGGUGAAAUGCGUAGAUAUCGUGAGGAACACCAGUUGCGAAGGCGGCUUCCUGGACUGAAUCUGACGUUGAGAUGCGAAAGCGUGGGGAGCAAACGGGAUUAGAUACCCCGGUAGUCCACGCUGUAAACGGUGUUCACUAGGUGUUGGGGUAUCGACCCCUCCAGUGCCACAGAUAAUUCGUUAAGUGAACCGCCUGGGAAGUACGACCGCAAGGUUAAACUCAAAGGAAUUGACGGCUGNGAGNGCGAGCGACACGAGGAG